UUGAACGCUGGCGGCAUGCCUUACACAUGCAAGUCGAACGGUAACGGGCCUUCGGGUGCCGACGCGUGGCGAACGGGUGAGUAAUACAUCGGAACGUGCCCGAUCGUGGGGGAUAACGAGGCGAAAGCUUUGCUAAUACCGCAUACGAUCUACGGAUGAACGCAGGGGACCGCAAGGCCUUGCGCGGACGGAGCGGCCGAUGGCAGAUUAGGUAGUUGGUGGGAUAAAAGCUUACCAAGCCGACGAUCUGUAGCUGGUCUGAGAGGAUGAUCAGCCACACUGGGACUGAGACACGGCCCAGACUCCUACGGGAGGCAGCAGUGGGGAAUUUUGGACAAUGGGCGCAAGCCUGAUCCAGCCAUGCCGCGUGCAGGAUGAAGGCCUUCGGGUUGUAAACUGCUUUUGUACGGAACGAAAAGCCUUCUUUUAAUACAGGAGGGUCAUGACGGUACCGUAAGAAUAAGCACCGGCUAACUACGUG
rnacentral:rRNA from 1 species